GUGUGGAGUGGAAGUGUAGCGAUACAUGGAGCGGACAAAUACUAAUCGAUCGAGGACUUAACCAAA
rnacentral:rRNA from 1 species